AAAGUUUAAUUAUAGAUUAAAGAAAAGUUAAAAGGACCAAAUAGGCAAUUAUGCCUUUUUCUAAAGUUGAGGCGGCAUAAUGAAAGAAAUAUCUGAGAUAUUCUAGUUAAUAUAUAUAUAUAUGUAAGUAAUGAUUAUUAUUAAUAUUUUAUAUUAUAUUAUAUUAUAUAUAUAUAUGACAAAGAAAGAAAGAAAAGAAACAGAGAGCAAAACAAAACAGAGAAGGGAGAAAGAAAGAAACAGAGAGCAAAACGAAACAGAGAAGGAAGGAAGGAAAGAAAGAAAGAAAAGAAAAGAAAAAGGGAAAUUUGGGGUUUUAAGGUUCAAAGUAAUUUGGUAAGUCAAUUUAAUCCCCUUUUCUCUUAAUUUUGAUAUUUUUUUUGAAAUCCUAGAAUAAAAUACUACUUGAUUUAAGUUGAAAUUUUGAAAGUUAGUAGAUUAUUAAGCAUGGUUCAUGUUGAAUAAAUUGUUAAAUUAGGGAUGUAUUUGAUAGAAAUUUUGAUUGGAAUUGAAUAAAGGAUUGAAUUGUAAACUAAACUAUAAGUUUUGAAUUUUAGGGAUUAAUUUGAAAUAAAUUCGGAAUUAUGAAAACAUGAUAAAAAUUAAAUAGUUAAAUAUGAGUUUAGUAAGAAUUAAGAGAGAAUAUAGAGUUAGAUUGGGAAAAAUAAAAUUAGUAUUGGUAAGGGAUUAAAUUAGAAUUUGGGUAAAGUUUAGGUAUAAAAGGAAAUAUUUUAAUGAAAUUGUGUAUUAAUGAUUUUUAAUUGUUUAAUUACGUAGCUAAUGUCGUGUACGAGUCAUUGUCCGAGAAAGGAAAGGAGAAAGUGGACAAGGAGUGACUCGAGAGAAAUUACGGUUAGUAUUACUAUAAUUCGAAUUUAAUUAUUAAUCGUUGAAAAUUAAAUUAAUAUACACGAUAAGCAAAUUGAGGUGAGUUUCAUAAUUGAAUUGAAUAAUAUAUAUACGUAUUGAUAUUGAAUUUAUUGACAGUAAUUAUUGAAUUUUGAAUAAUAUGUUAGUAAAUAAAAAUAAGGAGAAUAUCAAUAUUUAAUUGAAUGAAUUAAAAUAUGAAUUGAAUAAAUGAGAUAUUAAAUUGAGAUAUGUGAAUAUGUGAAUUGUGUAUUGAUUGAAAAGUGGUUUGAAUUGAAUCGAAGUAUGAUUAUAUGUGAAUAUCUGAAAUAUGUAUUGGUAUUGAAUUGUAUAUUGAUUUGAAAGUGGGAAGUGAAUCUGAGUUGAAUUGCGAUUAAAUCGAAAGUGAAUUUGAAAUAGAAAAAUGUAUUGAAACAAAUGGUGAUUAAAUGGGAAUGAUUUGAAUUGAAAGUAUGAGAAAGUGAUUGAAUUGAAAUGUGAUUCGGAAACCCUAUUAACUAGUCGGGCUGAGUCGGAUAUAGUUGGCAUGCCAUAGGAUUGGAAGAGUUCAGGGAUACUUCGACCUUGAGUCGAUGAGACACUGGGUGUCACUAUAUUUCUUCGGAUAGAUUCGAUGAGGUACUGGGUACCAACUUUACUUCGGCUGGGCCGAUGAGACACUGGGUGUCAACUAUUGCUUCGAACUAUCCGAUGAGGCACUGGGUGCCAUUUUGGUGUGUUUGGUUGGAUCCGUGUAUCCGCCAAGGUCCGAGUCUUGUUAAUAGGGGUAAAUAAUUGAAAUGAGAAAAUUGAAUAAAUGUGAUUGAUUGAGCUAUGGGAAGAAACGAAAAAGUGAAGUUGUGAAUUGAUGUGUGAAUUGGAAAUCGAAAUAAGAGAUUUAAAGAUAUGAGCCCAAAGUUCAUGAUGUGAUAAAGAGUAAAUUUUGUUAUAUGAUAUUAGUGAGUACAAAUUGCAAUAAAAUUUAUAUUGAAUAUAAAUUAAAUGAAAUGAAUUGUAUAUGAAUUGAAAUGAACUAUUGGAAUGAGAUGUAAAGAAAAAUCCAAUGGAAUUGAGAUAGUGAAAUAAGGUAUGAAUACAAUUAAAUACAAGAUUUGAAUUAUAGCUUAUUGUUAUUAAUUAUCAAGUUGAUUUAAUGCAUGAGAUAAUUAAUGAAUAAUUGUAGACAUAAAUAAAAUGUAUAUAAUUUAUCGAUUAAUGUUAUUAAUUCGAAUUAUGGUAAUACCACUGAGUAUUUCCAUACUCAGCGUACGGUUGUUUCCGUGCGCAGGUUAGGUCAAAGUCGGAUUGUUGAAUCAGCAUCCAAAGCCGAUUCUGAGCUAAUUGUGGUGGUGAACAUUUCUUUUAGUUAUGGCAUGUAUAGGAAUUUAGUAAUUUUGUAUAUUUGUAAAUAUGAUUUUACUAUAGAAUGAUGUGUAAGUAUUUGAUGAUGAAUGGUUGUUUAAAUGGUCAAGGAUGAAGUUAAUUAUUGUUAUAAAAGUCUAAGUGAUAAAUUAGGUAUGAAAGUCAUAAAAUGGUAAAAUUUUGCAAAGAAACAGAAUUCAGGCAGCAAUAGUGACGUAACUUUGAAAAAUCACCUAGGAUAGUAUAAAAUGAAUUAGAGGGUGAAUGAUAUAUGGAAUUAAAUCUUGUUGAGUCUAUUUUCAUGGAAAAAUAACGGUGUAAAAAAAAGAAAUUUAUAUUUUAAGAUAUGUGAAUUUUAGUAAGAUAGGGUCAGAACUGUUUUUGGAGUCCCCUGUUCUGAGUUUAGAAAAUAAUUACAAAUUGUACAAAAAUGGUUAUGAGUUGAAAUUUACAUGCUUAGAUUCCUUAAUGAGUCUAUUUUCUAUAGAAACAAGUAAGAACUUCAUAUGAAAAUUCUAUAGUGAAAAAACUUAUUUUUAGUGACUAGAGGUCAGGGCAGUCUGGUGGUGACACAGGGGAGACUUUAACUAAUAAACUGUACUAAUUUGCUGAACCAAAAAUUCUAAAAAUUUUAUGGUGAGUAUAUAUAUGAGUCUAGUUUCAGGGAAAAUUUACGAAAUUAAAUUUGGAGUUCCGUAGCUCGAGUUAUAAUCAAUUUAGUAACUGCUGCGCGAUUGGACAGAUUACUGUAAACAGUGAAAUUAAUUUUUAAAACGAAUUUUUAUGCCCCGAAUUAGUAAGAUAAGCUAAGUAAUGCCUCGUACUCGAUUCCGGCAACGGUCUCGGGUAAGGGGUGUUACAAUAACACUGAAGUGUGUAAUCAAAACACAGAGUGCACUAAAUUUUUCCUUAAUGGCAUGUCAUUUAUAUUCUAUUAGUUCAUGUUAGAGUCAAUUUCAUUUUCUCACUUUCAAAACAAAAUUUGCAUACUUUGAACUUAUUUCAGUUUGGUCCUUUUUAUCAUGAAAUUUACUAUUCUUUGUAAUUCAAUCUCACUUUCACUUUUCAUACAUAUACUAUUUCAUCACACUUUCUUACACAUUCUAUUUAUAAAUAUAAUUUUUUACAAUUUAACUAUAAUUUUACUUUUUUUUCAAUUUAAUCCUUAUCUUUCUACAACUUAAAGAACAAUUGUAAUUUGAAUUACAAUAAUCAUGUGUUUUUGCAUUCUCAACUACAUUCUUCACUUUAGUCCAUUUAAUCACAUAAUUUUAUUCACUUAUCAAAUAUUUUCUUGUAAACUUUCAUAACUUUUCAGUUUAGUUCCUUUUUAUCAUAAAAGUUCAAUAUUCACUAAUUAAUCAUAUUAAAUCAGUUUUCUUUCUUGUUACACUUUAAUCGCAUAAUUUAUCUCAAUAUCUUGUUUCACUUAUCAAAUUUUUUUAUGUAUUUUACUUCUAUUAUUUCAUCCACAUGUUUUCUCAAGUUUGGCAAUUUACUCCUUGUCAUCAUAAAAUUUUCAUAUUUUUUCCAUUAUUUCACUUUCUCAAUACUUUAUGUUUAUUUCAUCAUCUCAUAACACAUUCAUUAAACUUUUAUCAUAAUUUUCUUAUUCACAUAUUAAAUUAUUUUAUUUUACUAAUUUACCACAAAGCUUUGCUAAGUUUACAUUUUUAAUCCUUAAAUAACAAGAGAAUUCAUGGAUACUUAUAUAUUUUUAUUAAUUUUUUUUCUUUUUUUUUAUUUUUAGAAUUUUUGUAUUUGUAAUGAUUGAAUAAGUUGAAUUGAAAUUCGAUGAUCAAACUGGUUUAAUCAACAAUUUGAUUCUUACUAGAGGCGUUCAUGGGUUGGGUCUAGGAAUGAUAUUAAUAUAUUUUAUAUUUGCCCGAGCUCAACUUUACCCAAAAUAUGGAUCUUAAAUUUUGCCUAAGCUCGCCCAUAUUUAUAAAUGACUAACCUAAACUCAUUUUAAACCCAUUUAUAUUGUUUUAAAUUUAAUAUUUAAUAAUUUUAUAUAUUUUUUAUUUAUUAAAAUUCUAUAUAUAGUCAUUUUAACAUUUUUUUUUGAAUAUUAACUGAUGCUUUUAUUUGACGGCAAACUUGACCCGCAACAAUUAAAUGAACCUACAACUGUCCUACUCUAAAUGGCACCUAAAAUAGUGCAUUGGAAAACAAAAAGUAGAAAUAAUUAAAUAACACAGGAAAUUAAAACUAGUAAAAGGAAACAAAAGAACUUAAGACUAACAGAAAUGAAAAACAUAGGUCAGAAAUCCCAUUUUCCUUGAUGCUGUAAACAAAAUCCCAUUGUGCAUCAGCCAUUGCAGAGACCUUCCACCUAUGAAACAAACAGCUUUUGACUUUUCAACCUCCAGUCUUUGUUAUUUUCUGUGAGUUCAUCAGACCAAUCCGUCGUUACCAAGUCCGAACUCAUCAAUAUCAUUUAUCUUCUAUCACCGUCGUGAUUUCUGUCGCGGUUUACCAGUUCUUCCACCACGCAUGGUACCUCUUCCAUCCAAUAUCGUGGUCCAUCAUACUUCUGUUCUUUCAACGCCAAUCCAUGUGCCGCUUUAUUGGCUUCCCUUGGUAUGUGUUUGAAUUGCAAACUUCUAAAUUUGGAGGUUCUCCCCUUAAUUUCAUGGAUCAAACUUCUAAUGCAUGAUCUAUCUUCAACUACAAAAAUUAGUUUCCUAAUAAUAGUCAACGCAUCUCCCUCAACACAUAUGUCUUGGAAACUCAUUUCUUCCGCCAUAGUAACAGCUUGUAAACAUGCCCUCACCUCGGCUAUUGUUGGAUCUGAAAUAUUCUCCCAUGGGUAAAUGCAUGAUGUCAUCAUUAAUCUUUCUUUAUUUCAAGCAAUGAUUCCAGAAAUUGAUCUGUGAUAGUUCUGAUUAAAUGAUGCAUCAAAGUUAAUUUUUAUAACAUUUCCCCUAGGUGGUUGCCACAUAUUAGCGUUAGUAUCAUUUCUGGUCUUCAACACCUCACCCAUAUGCUAUAUUUCUAUUUAAUAUGCGUUGAUAAAGCCCACAAUUUCAUGCACUCGGUCUCUUUUCCCCUCAUGAUAAAUUCUAUUCUGGUUGUACCAAAUAGCCCAUAAAAAGAUAGUUCGAAUUUUGCAUUCUUCAUUACUAUGAUUUUAAUAUUCAACUGCUAACCAUUUUUUCCAACUUGUUUCUCUAUUGAUUGUUAAGUUAAACACUCCCAAAUCCCAUAAUACUUGUCGAGUAAAGUUGCAAUCCCAAAAGAGAUUGCCCACCGUAUCUUCUUCUUCUUGGCAUACUAGACAAAUCGUGUUAGUCACCAGCUUGCGGAUUUUCAGAUUAUAUAGUAUAGGCACAAAUUUGUUAGCAACUUUCCAAAAAUGUAUUUGAAACUUGCUUGGUAGCUUAAGAUCCCAUAUGUUUGUAAAAAACUUAGAUAGAUUAUUGUAAUGCCCCAAAUUUUUGUAAAUUCGGCUUUUGUGAUGGUUGAGUAUGGAAAUAUCUGAACAAUUGUUUUUGUGUUAUUUUGGGAUUUAAAUGUGUGGUUAAGAGGUAUGUGUUUUGGGGUGUGUUUGGGAGGUCUCAAGUUCGAGCCUUAACUUGGGCUAAAUUUUGGUUUUUAUUUGGAUAAAACUUAAGUUUUGGUUAAUAGGCUUAUCAAAAUUUAUUGGUAGGAACUUAACAGAUUGGGCCUGUUGGUUUGGUGUUUAAGUGGAGUGUUAGUCUACUUAGGGUCCUGAGUUCGAAUCUCUGCAGUGGCUUUGGGAUUAUUUUUGCUGCAAGUUUCUGCUAAAUUUUAGGCUUUAUCAAAAUUUUGAGUUUAGGGUUUAGUGAAAAUUAAGGGUUUGCGGUAUGUCUUUAUUUUCCUUAUUUUUAACAAAAACUUUUUCCUCUGCCAUUUUCUUCUCCCAAUCAGGUUUUAAACAACAAAGAAUCACCGUUAUUCGUUGAAGGUAAGUAGAUCUCUCGUUUCGAGAAUUGCCUAUUUUUAAUAAUCGGACUUAAGAGACUGAUUUUGGGUUCGCUAUGAGUGAUUUAGGCUUUAGAGUGUUCGCGGUUGGAUUAGCAGCAAAAAAGAACCAGGUGUGUACUCCGAUUACCCAGAAAAUGAGUUUCGGUGAAAGCUAAAAAGUAUCCUGUCGACGCCACAUGGGUGUGUGGUCUGCCCGUGUGGUAGCCUGCAUCGCGAGACACAAGCUUGUCACAGAAGAGCUAGGCCGUGCGUGCGCCACAAAUGCCAGAUGGACACAACCGUGUGAGGGCUUGUAGGUCGUGUGCGAGGCACGGACUCGUGUCGGCCUACACGAAUGAACCACACGGGCGUGUGGGAAUCUAAGUCAGGUCGUGUGGGCCAUACAGGCAGGGAACACGGGCGUAUGAGCCCAAUUUUGUUGAAAUGAUCUGUAAGGUUGCAUGGGUUGCCUAAGUCGACUGUGACCUGACUGUAGGGGUGGUAAGCGUUACUCGGUCCCCUUACUCUGAUUGGUUACUGAAAAGUAUGUUAAUAUAAGCAUGUGUAUCUGUCUGAUUCUGUAUAUCUGCUCUAACAUGAUGUUGAUAUGAUCUACUAUCUGCAUAAUAGCAUGCCAUGAUAUUUAUGAUGCAUUGCAUUGGGUUAGGAUUGUUGUGAAGAGAAGGAAGUUUGAGAGGAGAUUAGCCUGUUAUCUGGCAGCGAUGCUGUAUUUAUAUAUAUAAAUUGCCAUGUACUAUUUUGCGGUACCUUAUAGUGUGUAGGGUUGGAUGGGUUGAUAAAAUCCCCAUACUUGGUGUGUAAGGUUGAGUGGGUCGAUUCUAUCCCCACAUGGUGUGAUGGGUUAGACGGAGAUGGUGUGCAGGGUUGGUGAGCAUGAUAUUUCUGAUAUAUGAUCUGUUAUGCAUGCGAUAUCUGUAUGGCUAAGGCCGAAUAACUAUAUUCUGUUAUCUGUUUGUAUGCAUGCUGUUUGUGGGGAUGUACACACUGAGUUUGCAAAAACCCACCCCUUUGUUUAUUUUGUUUGUCAGGUAAUCCUCAGCAGUAGAUGGAUCGGUGUGACGGAGGGCUUAAUGGUGACCACUGCUAGACAUUUACGGAUUUUUGAGUAACACUUUAUUUUACCUACUUUAUUUAAAUAUAUGUUUUAGGAUUAAUAUGUAUUUGGACUCGAACUAUUAUUGGGUUUAUUUUGGGAUUUUAAAUUGUUAAAUUAUUGAUUUAUGAAUUAAUGAUGUUUUAGCUUCCGCGUUAAUGAAAUGUUCACGUAAUAAUUGGAAUAAAAAUUGCCCGACUUAAGUAAAGCUAAUAAACUAAACGAUUUUUCACUUGAUAAGGUUUCCUAAAAGGGUUUCCUAAAAGUAUUCUCAUAUGCCGCCAGAUUCGGCCAUAACGUCUAGGCCGGGUUUGGAGUGUUACAAUUAUCAUGUUGUAUGCUAGUUUCCUCUAUUGUAUUCAUCCAUUUGUAACCAGUUUUAACUGUAUAAAUCCUUGUAUUAUCG
rnacentral:lncRNA from 1 species